CCCUUCCCGGCCCGGCCCCUGCCCCAGGGGGCCCCGCUCGGAGGGAAGGCUGAGGAAUCACGUCCACCUUUUGCUCCAGAUGGGCCCAUCUUCCAGGAGACAGGGAAGGGAAAUGUCUGUGAUGGAGCCAGCUCAGAUGCCGGUAACCUUCGAGGAGGUGGCUGUGUAUUUCACCCAGGGGCAGGGGGCUCUCCUGGACCCCGCUCAGAGAGCUCUCUACAGGGACGUCAUGCAGGAGAACUACGAGACGGUGACCUCACUGGGUAA